UUUAUUUAUUCAUCUUUGUUGUGAAAUCUUUUGUUAAAUGUGUUGGGGAAAAACCUGACCUUACUUGUUUUUACGUUUGGGUGUUUUAGGAAACUCCUUUCUGCUUUAGGCAUUUUGAUCCAGUAUCUGAAGUUUUCCUUUGUCCUGUGCAUUCUAAGACCAGUGUUUUCCAUUAGUUAAAAGCAAAUUGGUCAGGUAGGAAAAUUAGCUCAAAUCUAGAAACUUCUCUUGUGAUUGUGGAAUUUGUGGGUGUGAACAUUUUGGAUUCAAUAAAACCCCCUCCAUGAGCUCGGGCUCCUGGGUGAGAGGAAAAUGGCUUCCGUGUUGUAUGGUCUGAUUCUCUCACCCUCUACAGAGUUUACACUUUGCAGAGUUUGUCUGUCUGUUUAAUAGGUUUGUUACAGUUUACCAAAUUAAGAAUCUAAUCCCUCUGUGUGUGUGUUCUGACUUCCUUUAAGGUAGCAGAUGCCUUCUGGUGGGAGAUCGCCUUCGGGGAGCCGCAUGGCCACUUCCUCAUUAAAGUCCGGCCAGCUGAAUUGCUCUCCGGCCGGCUGCUCCGCAGGUGAACUUCCGCCUAUGGCUCUCGCUCUACCAGGACAAGGAACGCCAAGCCAUGGAACCAAGGAGUUUGGGGUCCUGUUGCAUGUGAUACCACCACAAAUGAGGCGUCAAGGUCACUCUUCUCAUCCCUCCCACUGCUGCAUACUGCUGAGAGGGCCACUACAACUGAUCAUCAUCGGAUGGGAUGCAUGCAGGCUCGCCAGGACGGCAGAUAAGUAAACGAUCUGCCUUCAGCUUGCAGGACAAAUCCACCAUGUCGCUGCUGAUGAUGGGAGAUCGCACUUUGCUCUGAAACUGCCCCUCAGCAUCUGAUGGAACAAGAGGAAUAGCAGCAGUUGAGAGGGACAACGGAAUCGACAUCUGGUGUUUGAGACCCCUCCUGGGUCCGUCCACACGACACUGUGACCUGCCUCCAACGACGUAUCCAGUACCCCAAAUCUCCCGUCUGGUUUCAUGGCUCCCUGUCCAAAAGACAUCCCCUCACCAUCUCUCAGAAUGUCUCUCUCUCCUGUCACAUCGCAGGUUGGCUCCCUGCCCCCACUUCACGUUGCGUGAAGAUGGGCGUCCUUACGAGGACAUUUGAGCUGAAGAAGGAAAGUCUGGGUCUGUGAUGACUCGUCUGUCUCAUAUCGACGAAAGGGCAACACCAUUCUAUGGAAAACAUUGUUUUAACAUCAACUUUCCCCCUCUAGCAUUUCCAACGAAUCGACUGAGUUUGCUGGUAUCUAAUAAUUCAUAUCAACUCGUGUUCAAGUUUCUUGCAUCUGUUAUGGUUAUCUUAAUAAAGCUAGGCACACAGGAUAAAGUAGAUUUUGGUG